UACCUUGCAAGUCUGAUGAAGUUCUGGACUAAAGUUCUCAUCUUCUGAGUAUAUGGCUCUUGAUGGGUCAGUUUAUGCAAUGAAAUAGAUUCUACCAGAAAGUCAGCAGACAAAGUAUUUUUUUCUUUGUAGGAAAAUAGGUAGGGAUGAAACCAAGUUAACUUUGGUGCUGCAAAAAGACCUCCCUGGAUCAAAUUCCAUUUUUUAAACAUCUUAUCCCAUGGUUACUGACUUAUUUUAUCUUGUAUUUUGCAUGUGCUGUUUAUCAUUGGAAAUCCCACAGUGAAUGACGCUGAUAUCCUGAGCAUGGAGAAAAUCACACACACCUGCUGAAUACCAUACCUCUGUAGGUAAAUAAAUUUGAAAAAGUAAAAUUUUCUGCCUGGGAAGAGAUUCAGUUGCAAAAAGCAAUACAUUGACUCACUUAAAUAGAGAUAUUUAAUGAAUUGUGAAGAUUAGACCCAUAUGCACAGAGCCACUAGAGGAUGUUUUGAUGAUUGGUUUGUACCUAAACUUGACUCAUAGAAGAUUUCUCUCUUGGGAAUCAAAAUAACUCAGGCCAAAUCCAUAAAAAUCCAAGAAGCUCCAGUCCAGAAGCAUCUCCAAGAUCACAGCAGCUGGAAAACACAAACUUUCAGGGUUCCACUUUGAGGACCUUGAGGAAGGCUGAAGACAGUGGCCCUGGCCCCAGGCUGCAGCACACUUUUACUCACCAUAGCCCAA